CAACUACUGGGCAUUUCCACUUCGUGUGAUCAGAAUUCUCUUCGAAACUGCUUCCCCUUGUGUUCCCAGCCAUUCUCUGCAGUCACCUUAUUGACCUAGGCAUCUACGCCAGAAGCUGGACAUUCUUCAACAUCGACAUGCAAGUCAUGCCAGGAUAGCGCUCUGCUCUUGUGGUCCAGUGGCGACAUGGCAGUUCAGGCCACCUCGUGUCACCUGGCUCACUGAGCCAGGAGCACCUCUCAAGUGUCGCCUGCUAGAGGGAGGCUGCUUCACAACAGUGCGAUGGCAUCAGAGCUGUGAGGAGGAGGAAAAGACUGAAGCGCAAGCCUCGG
rnacentral:lncRNA from 1 species